rnacentral:rRNA from 1 species
AUGGCCGUCGAACUCAUGGGUUGCGGCUACGCCCCACACGGCCACGCGGCCGAGGCCGAGGAGCAGUUCCAGGAGGCCGCUGCCGCGGGGCUCCUCAGCCUCGAGCUCAUCAUCUCCUCCUUCUCCUCCCGCGCCGGCUGCGCGCCGCCCCUCGGAGAGAUGGCCGACCAGGCGGUGUCCAGGUUCCGCCGGGUCAUCAACAUCCUCGACCGCACCGGCCACGCCCGCUUCCGCCGCGGCCCUGUUGGCGCUGACGCCGACUCGUUGACCCCCCCUCCUGUCUCCUCUGCCCCUCCUCCGAUGCCGGCCCAGGCACCGACACCGGCUGUCUCGCCGCAGCUGGCGCCGCAGAAAAGCAUGACGCUGGACUUCACGAAGCCUUUGAAGGCGCCGGCGGCGGCCUCGGUUGCCGCGCCUUCGGUGACGUCGACGUCUUUCUUCUCGUCCGUGACGGCGGGGGGCGAGGGCAGCGUGUCGAAGGGCUGGAGCCAGCUGGUGUCCUCCGGCAAGCCGCCGCUCCCGGCUGGGACCAAACGCAAGCAACGCCAACAGCAGACGCGCUGCGCGCACUCCGACGCCGCCGCCGGUGGCCGGUGCCACUGCUCGAAGAAGCGCAAGAACCGGGUGAAGUACACGACACGCGUGCCCACGGUAACCUCGGGCGCGGCGGACAUCCCCGGCGUCGGCGACAAGUACUCGUGGCGCAAGUACGGGCAGAAGACCAUCAAGGGGUCCCCUCACCCCCGCUGCUACUACAGGUGCGGCACCGUCAAGGGCUGCCCGGCGCGGAAGCACGUGGAGCGCGCCACCGACGACCCCGCCAUGCUCGUCGUCACCUACGAGGGCGACCACUGCCACGACACUUGGCCGCCGGCCGCCGCAAAUUGA